CACAGCAAUAGGUGAAGGACUUUCAGUUAGACAACACACUGCAAUAGUGGCAAGUGUUAUUGCUAAUUCAGGAGGUGAUGUUACUAAUUUUGCAAUAUCUUCUUCAACCGCAUUUAGAGUUGCAGAAGAAGUUGUAACUAAAGAGGGAGAAAAGAUUAAAAAGCACGUUACUGAUCUUGUUAAAUCUUCAUCAUUACCAAUUAUUCUCCAUUUUGAUGGAAAAAUAGUUAAGGAGUUCACAAGCGGAAUAGAACAUCAACUUGACAGACUUGCUGUUUCCAUCAGGAUAGAUGGACAGAGUGAGCUUCUUGGGGUUCCUCAUUUGAGCUCUAGUACUGGAGAAACACAGACGAAUACAAUCAUUUAACUUCUUCAUCAAUUUGAUAUUUUUGAUAAAUUUCAAGGAUGCGUUUUUGAUACAACUUCUGUAAAUACUGGUAAUAAAAAGGGUGUGUGCAUUAGAUUAGCUGCAGAGCUUGAUAGACCACUACUUCUCCUAGCAUGUAGGCAUCACAUCUAUGAAAGGCAUAUUAUUCACUGCUGGAACAUUUAUCCAAGCAGUAAAAUAAAUGGUCCAGAUAAUCCAUUGUUUAAGAAGCUAAAAGAUGUAUGGAACUCAAUUGAUCAAAAUUCCAUUGUGUUAAACAAAGUAAAAAUUGAAGAUAUUUCUGAUAGCUGGCUGCAGGUACAGUUCAAAGAAGCCUUAUCUUUUUCUCAAAAUAUUAUCAGAAUGAAAACAAUGAAAAAGGAUGGAUGUAGGUCUGAUUAUCUAGAGUUAGUGGAAUUGACAACAAUGGUUUUAUCUGGUGAUGAACAGUACAUGCUAAGAAAACCUGGGCCUGUACACCAUGCCAGAUUUAUGGCAAAUGGAAUAUACUUUCUGAAAAUGUAUCUCCUUCUAAACAACAUUUCUAGCUUGACAGAUUUUGAGAAGAAAUAAAUAAAUGAUAUGGCAUUCUUCACAGCUGUAUUUUACACUGAGUGGUUUAUAAAGGCUGAAAUUCCGGCUGUCGCUCCAUAUCAGGAUAUGAAAGCUCUUUGGCAGAUGAUGAGAUACUCAAAAAUCAAUCCUGUCCAGGCAAAACCUGUUAUAGAGUCUCU
rnacentral:lncRNA from 1 species